GAAUGCUUUUGAAAAUUAGUUUUGAUCGAAAUAACGAACUUUGGACUCAGUUUUAAUACAGUUUUAGGCCGUUUUACUUGAUGAAUUCAGUUUUGUAUUCAGUGGGCCUAAAAAGCCCGGAUUAAAGAAAAACAGUA